rnacentral:misc_RNA from 1 species
AACACUGUUAACCUGCGGUACCUGCGGAAGGAUCAUUACAGAGUUGCAAAACUCCCUAAACCAUUGUGAACGUUACCUAAACCGUUGCUUCGGCGGGCGGCCCGGGUCCUUCCCGGCGCCCAUCGGCCCUCGCGGGCGCCCGCCGGAGGUAAACCAAACUAUUGCAUUGUAUGGCCUCUCUGAGUCUUCUGUACUGGAUAAGUCAAAACUUUCAACAAUGGAUCUCAGAUCGGAAGAGCA